UGGGGAAUCUUGGACAAUGGGGGCAACCCUGAUCCAGCCAUGCCGCGUGGGUGAUGAAGGUCUUCGGAUUGUAAAACCCUUUUGGCGGGGACGAUGAUGACGGUACCCGCAGAAGAAGCUCCGGCUAACUUCGUGCCAGCAGCCGCGGUAAUACGAAGGGGGCUAGCGUUGUUCGGAAUUACUGGGCGUAAAGCGUGCGCAGGCUGUUUUGCAAGUCAGGGGUGAAAUCCCAGGGCUCAACCCUGGAAUU
rnacentral:rRNA from 1 species